UAUAGAAUAAAUGACUUAAUCAAUAAAGCCUAGGUAGAAGGCUUUUUUCACAUGUAAUCUGUCCCUUUUUGUUCUUCAAGUGGGAGUUACAAAAUGCAUUUAUCAAGCACUUACUGGUUGGCAGACACUGCUAUAUGUUGUAGCCUUACAAGACUUUCCAAAGAGACCUCACACUUUCAUAUCUAUAAUUCUCCAUUUAUGAUGUUCCGGGCUCCUGCUGUUUUUUAAAAUGGUGCGGUGAGAGUGUGUGCCUGGCAUCUGCGUGCUGCAGCAGUGUGGGGCUGACAGAGUGUGUCAACUUGAGCUCUGGCUGUGCAGGCACCGCUGCUGCGUGAGCCU
rnacentral:lncRNA from 1 species